GCCAUGGCCCGUUGCUCCUUCGACCCCGGAUCCCGGUGAUGCUAUCUCCUGUGCGCCGCCUCAAUCCACCGCCCUCCCCCGCAGGCUCUUCCGCGCUGGCUUCCACGAGCUGGGUUGUUGCCUCCUCCCCUCCCGUGCACUAUCUCAACUUUUCUCCACAAAAAUGAUGAAAGGCAGCGGCUCAAUGCCUCCUUGGAACUCCACCCUGUUUAACUUCUUCCUCCUGAUUCCUUCCACUCUAAAUUAAUUUAGGGUCUGGGUGUGUAGUUUUUAUGGUGGGUGUGACGGAUCUUGGGGAGGUGAGGAGGACAGAGGUGGGAGAAGGACCGCGAGUCUGGAGAAUCUAGGCUGCACAUAUAAAUCCUCUCCAUCUUCCUCUCCCCUUUGACCCCUCCCCCCAGUUCUCCAGUAAUCUGAUUUUGAUUUCUUCUGUUUUCGUAAGAACAAUGUGUGCAGAUCUGUAAAAGAAGAGAAGAGGAAGAAUCCCAAGGAAGAGUUUGGUGAAGAAGAAUAAGGUGACUAUGUGAGUUGCAUUGACAGAAUCCAUGUAUUAAGCUGGGGCAUUUUUGGCAGCUGCAGCAACCUGACAAUUCAUUUGUUCUCAUACAAGAUGCUUGUGAAGUACAUGGGGAAGGCGCGCAUGGUUGAUGAUUAUGUUCUGGAUUGGAGGCCGAAGCAAACUCCGUCAGGUUUCAGAUAAUUACUUCAGGUUAGGCGGGAGAAAUAAAAAGGGUAACCAUAGAUAUAUGGUGUAGCAUCAUGAGGUUCAGGUUCCUGCUGUUGAUCAAACGUUGCUUCGGUCGAGGUGGGUUAUGCUUGAUUAUGUUCUUUGUAUUUUUGUUCAUGGCCUACACUGGUGUUAUCAUCUAUUCUGUUUCAAAAAUUUCAAUGGCUUAGUUUCAUGUCCCAGUACCACUUGAAGUACAACUAAGUACCUUCUGACAGGGCAAUAAUGUAUGUAUUUACCUAUGGUUAUUGUUCCCUAUAAGAAACAUGAUCAUCUCACCUUGGUUUCCCCUGUAUCUGACUUGGGACAGUUUUAUGUGAGAUUUGUUUUGCAUUUUCUGUGUGUGUGGAUGCUUAAGCUUAAGCUUUUGUUAUUUGGUUCAGUUAGAGAUUAAAGAAGACUGAAAUUGAGUC